AUUUCAAUCUGUUAAAAUUAUUUCAUUCCGAAUUUGUUCAUUGCUUGAGUUUUAUAUGUUGCAAAGGAGUUUUCUAUUCAUUAAAUUGGCUGUAUUCGUCACACAAUUUGUUUUGCUUCAUUUUGCAAUUGUUAACUUCACAGGCGGUCAUCGACUCGUAAAUUAGAAAGCCUUUCUUACCCACCUGCCUUUUAGAAUGGAAAAAAAAAAUAUUAUUUUUAUGUGAUGCUGCAGAAAAUUUGGGAAACGGUCUAUAGAUAUGUAUGUUACUAUUGGAACACAAACCAAAGUAAAUUUAACAAAAAAAAAAAAUUCCGACCUUGAUCCUUGAAAUAUCAAGCUUAUAUGAGAAUUACAGGUGAAUGCAUUUCGUGUUUAUGAUAUCAACAGAAAGAAAAAACACCUCACAACAAAAUUAUAAUCAAAUAAACUAAUAAACAUGUUACAAUUUUUCUUCUAUUGAUCUCAAAUCAAUUAAAAUGAAACCUGAAUUGACCCAACAAUAUCGUUUUAAAACGCCGUAGUCGUGAUCGAAGAACAUAGUUCUCAACGUAAAGUUUUAUAAAAGGUUACAAAUAAUUAAUGACAAACGUUUGCAUUUAAUUUUUUAAUUAAAAAGACGUUGAAAUGUUCAAUUUUGUGCAAGUAAAUUUUAGGACAUGAUUUAUAUUCAUAUAAGAAAUAAGACGAUACCAAGAGAAUAAUUAAACCACUAGUGCAACACUUACAAGUCCGCGGAAGAACAAAGAUUGAAAACAAACAAAAAUAAACAAAUUAGGCCCCAAAAAUUACUCAUUAACUUAAAAGUUGUCUCACG
rnacentral:lncRNA from 1 species